rnacentral:lncRNA from 1 species
CCUCCAGCUGCUGUCCUGAAUUAUGCCUGGCUGUUCUUGCACACCAGCAUUCCUAGGGACACCAUGCAGCGCUGCAUUCAGGAGACGCUGCUCUUUCUGUCCUACACCCGUGCAAAGAAAGCAGGGUGUGGACUUCAUCUUCAAGGACAUUGGCCGUCUGGUCUUCUGCAAGAGCAGAGUCCAAAGACAAUUUUCCACAGACUUUGUUCACAGCCUAAGUAACAACGUCCAGCUGCUGAAAUCUCAGAUGAAUGACCAAGUGACAGGACCAAGAGAAGAGCUGUGGGCAUCCCUGGGAAGAUGGCAGAGGAUCUUCUGAUCUCCUGCGUUUUGGAAGGAGGCUGUGCUCCGGGCUCUUGGGACAGGCAGAGGUGGCGAUCUUCAGAGCCCACCCGAGAGGUUUCUUCUCCGUUGCUGCAGCUGCCUUUAGUGCGGAGUGUGCGGGCAUCCAUGACCUCACACAAGCCCCGGCACACCAGCCACGGCCCGCCCACAUCAGGAGACAGGCGCUUCGGGCUCUGCGCAGUGCUUUGUGCUGCAGCUUCAUCGCAGAAGAGUGGGAGUAGCAGCGCCCAGCUGCCAGCACCAGGAGGGCGCUCGGAGCUGUACACUGGCAUCACUGAUAGGAACAGGACAGUGCCCCAGGAAUUCAGAUGCCCCACCACACCCUGCCCCCAGCCUCAGCUCAGCUGCGGCUGAGAAUUCUGCUGUGAAUAAAAGCUCAGGCAGAGUUUUGCCCCCAGUGCUCCUCUCUGUGUCGUUGAUCUCAGGAGAAAGAGUGGUGCAGGCCACGCCAACCUGGUGCCCUGGGCCUCUCACAGUCAUAGAAUUAUAGAACCAUGGAAUCAUGUAGGUUGGAAAGCACCUCAAAGAUCAUUACGUCCAACCGUUAUAUACACAUAGCAACUGGCAACGCUCCUCCUGUGAGGCUGAAUGUACCAUGCCAGUUCUUGUGGGCGAGGAAUAUGCUAGCAUGUCGCAGGAAGCACGGCUGAAAGCACGACAGACACCAGUAUGGUCAGAUCAUGCUCCAUUUUAUUGCCCGAAUAGCCUAACUUUUAUAGUGAACUUAGCAGGGGCGGAUCGUGUCUCACACAAGAUUAUUGGUCAAAAGCACUCAGACAAACAACUACAAGAAAACAACCCCACCUGCAAGAAAACAAGCCCCUUGUAGUUAGCGGUCAGGUGGACCUUGUCCUUGAAGCCAGAUGCUGGUAACAAUGUUUUUCUAAAUUCCUCAAUUGGGCGAUGUGGGAACACUGUCAUGGGAACUUCUCAUAGUUGCCCUGGUAGCUUGGUUUGCUCAGCUGCAGCAAGCCAUGGGAUUUUUGCUGUUUCAAAAAAUCCCUCAACAAUACCCCCCCACCCUUUUUUUUUUUUUCCUUUUUUUUUUCUUUUUCUUUGAGCAAACCAAGCCUGAUGUAACAGUUUUGCAAGUAACCCUUUAACCACAUUUAUUACAAUACAACACGCAAUGAUGAUUAACACCACAACAAACAGAAUCCUUAAUCCCUCUUUGACUAAUCUCAGUAACCACCUAUGCAUCGUUUCAAACAAAUCAGUGAACCAUUGAUUGAAAGGAUUAAUAUCAUAUUGAAUCUUUCUCAUGUGCUCUUUCAGGAAAAUAAUGGAUUUGUGAAUUGAUUCAUUAUGAUCAAAAAGGUUUAAACAGCACAUUCCAUCAAAGUCCUCACACCCAUGCCUUUGAGCCAAAAGCAAGAAGUCAAUAGCAGCUUGAUCCUGUAAAAGCACAUAUUGCAGACUGUUUUGAUCUGGUAACACCUCCUCAAGUAUCUCUGUCGCGGCAUGGGCUUGCUUCUUGGCGCAGCAUAACAAUUUUUCUAAGUUAUUAAGUGCGGCCGCAGAGGCCACUUCGGCACUAAAAUUGCCAAUGCCUCUCUAGCUGCAACACCAAACAAUUCAACAUUAUCAUUGCAAUCCGGUGCGAGCAAUGCUCAUUUAUGUCUGGUGAUCUCACGCAACUGCGACAAGCUAGGAGCAAAUAUAAUGAGUUUAUCUAAGCAACAUGGACCUCCGAUAGCAUUUGUAGGGAUACCUUGCCAAGCCCUAUCCCUGCAAAUCAGAAAAAACAUCAGGAGGUAAGGCCAUAGCUGUAUAAUUGUUCCAAACACUACAGUUGUUACCCCUUGUCUCCAUGCCAUAAACCCCUAAACCCUGCCUAGCAGUGUCAUUGUAAUCACAGGUGUUAUUUGUAUUUCUGUACCGGUAUGGCCCUUUCCAAGUUCCUGUAGCAGGAUCUCGGUAAUUCAUUCUUAUUUGUGGUAACACAUUUGGUGCUGCUAUAUUUAUUGUUUGAAAAUGAAUACUUGCAGGAGGGUCUUCUCGGUCCCUAGUCAAACAUAAGUGAUUGAAGACAGCCAAUGCCUUGGACAACCAUUCAUCGAUGUUCUUGAUCUCUUUUAAUCUCACUAGUUGUUCCUUUCAAACCUGAUGUGAUGCUAGCAAAACCUUGCAGUCUUGUGUCUUGGUGAAGGAUGAGGAUGACAUUUUGCAGGAAGAACACAAGGGUUGGUGAGAGGUUAGUUACUACGGAAACACCCGAGUAUGGUCAAGAGGGUACUAGGGCUUCUCCCGCCCAAAAGGUGGCCCAGCUGCGGUGCAUUUACACUAAUGCACACAGUAUGGGUAACAAACAGGAGGAGCUGGAGGCCACGGUGCUAGAAGGAAACUAUGACGUAGCUGCCAUCACGGAAACCUGGUGGGAUGAUUCCCAUGACUGGAGUGUGGCUGUUGAUGGCUACAAACUGUUCAGAAGGGAUAGGCGAGGAAGGAGGGGAGGAGGAGUUGCCCUCUGUGUUAGGAAGUGGAU